rnacentral:rRNA from 1 species
GAUGAACGCUGGCGGCGUGCCUAAUACAUGCAAUUCGAGCGAACAGACGAGGAGCUUGCUCCUCUGACGUUAGCGGCGGACGGGUGAGUAACACGUUGAUAACCUACCUAUAAGACUGGGAUAACUUCGGGAAACCGGAGCUAAUACCGGAUAAUAUAUUGAACCGCAUGGUUCAAUAGUGAAAGACGUUUUGCUGUCACUUAUAGAUGGAUCCGCGCCGCAUUAGCUAGUUGGUAAGGUAACGGCUUACCAAGGCAACGAUGCGUAGCCGACCUGAGAGGGUGAUCGGCCACACUGGAACUGAGACACGGUCCAGACUCCUACGGGAGGCAGCAGUAGGGAAUCUUCCGAAAUGGGCGAAAGCAUGACGGAGCAACGCCGAGUGAGUGAUGAAGGUCUUCGGAUCGUAAAACUCUGUUAUUAGGGAAGAACAAAUGUGUAAGUAACUAUGCACGUCUUGACGGUACCUAAUCAGAAAGCCACGGCUAACUACGUG